rnacentral:lncRNA from 1 species
GUUCCAUGCUGUCUUUUGAGGUGCCAGGUUGGUAUUUUGGGUUCAAUGCCAUGUUUUGGGGUUCCAGGUUGGUAUUUUGGGGUGCCAGGUUGAUUUUUGGGGUGCCAGGUUGGAUUUUGUGCUCAAUGCUGUGUUUUGGGGUUCAAGGUUGGUAUUUGGGGUGCCAGGUUGGUAUUUUUGGUUCCAUGCCGU